AUUCAUUCCCAAGUUAUACGUUGACAUCAACUCAAAUCGUUUUUGUUAUCGUAUCUACGUUAGUUUUUGUUACUGCGACCGAGUUACUUAUUCAUUCUCUUAGAGUUUUAUCGGCAUAAGAUCAGAACGCCACAGAUUAUAUCAGAGGCUGCAGUUCAACUAUCAUGAUCUCAUUACUUCCCCUUUUAGUAUCUGCACUGGAUUUAGGUGCGAUAUUCUUCACUGUACGAAUGAUGCAGAGAUGUUUCAGAGACAAAAAGAAGCAAAGGUUUAUUAAAAAGUGUAAAAUAUUGGGCUCUUUUCAGUGCGUUUGUCAAGUCACAAUUCUUUUCUCGGAUGUCACAGAAUCAUGGAAUGGUUUCAGUGUUCAAGGCAAAGAUUCCUGCAAUGUCUUCAGGGUGUUGUCCCUUUCUAUGACGUUCUUCCAAACUGGCAACUUAACGGCGAUCUUAACAGUCUAUCGCGAACACUCUGUAGGAUACGAGAACCGGGAUUUAAAUUCAAAUCUCCGAAUGUUUGCAGUGCUCAUUUUGGGUUUCGCUGGCUCUUUAAUGAUAUGGUGGCACAAUUGUUUCGCUAAAGCAGUCGUUUCUCAAGCAGCCCUCGAAGUUGCUUUGUUUCUGACGAUGUUACUGAUUUUUUUGCUACUUGUUGUGGCUCUGGUCAAAAACAAUGAUGAAGAUAACUUGAAAACCACUUCACCAGAAUCAGACAUGGCGACACAUUCGUGCUCUCUGCUAUGGAAGUUACUUAGAGUUAACAAGAAGCCUCUCUUCUUCAUAGUUUUAAUAUUUUCUUGUUUAGGUGCAUUGAUACGCAGGCUUCCCUGUUCGAUACCACUUCUUUGCCAGGACUUUGACCGAGGAAUAUUAUUGGACGCAGUCCUUUAUUCCUUGAUUACCAAGUUUGUUGUGGGAAUAGUUUUACCCAUAAUACUGCAUGAUUUGAUUAAUUCGAGCGAUCUAGACAGAGAGAUAAAGGGAUAGACAAUGUUACUUAAAGACAAACUCAAAACUUGACGAUGAGCAGUGUUACUGAAGCAGAAGUUCGUUAUAUGGAGCUCGCGUUCUUGAACUGACCCUGUCAUAGAGUUUUAAGUUUCCCUUGGAAAUGUGACAGGUUGAUUACAAAAAUUGAAUACGUCCCUAAUUCAAUUCGUAUUCACAUAGUUGCAAACACUGAAAAACCAUCCAAUUUUUUUUCUCCACAUUUUUAUUUCAAUUAAUAGAUACAAAUACACAUUGUAACACAUGUCAAUGGCUAUUUCUUAUUCAAUACAAACGAAAGUUGUGUAACGAA